UACAGAGGUCUCAAGCGUUGUUCGGAUUCAUUGGGCGUAAAGGGUGCGUAGGCGGCGCGGUAAGUCGGGUGUGAAAUCUCGGGGCUUAACUCCGAAACUGCAUCCGAUACUGUGUCGCUUGAGUACCGGAGGGGAUGGCGGAAUUCCCGGUGUAGAGGUGAAAUUCGUAGAUAUCAAGUGGAACACCAGUGGCGAAGGCGAGUCCCUGGACAACUCCUGACACUGAGGCACGAAAGCUAGGGGAGCAAACAGG
rnacentral:rRNA from 1 species